ACGUUUAUAUGAAAAAAACGCUUUAGAAUAUCAGAUAAUUUUAUUAUUCUAAAAAAAAUAAAAAAAACUAGUCUGCACUAACCCCAAACUUCGCACCCCACUCUUUCACUUUUCUUUUCACGCCCAAGAAACCCUGAAAUCCAGUGUCUUCCACAACUUCUCUUCUGACCUUUGUGAUGAUCAGGUUCUGAAUCCAUGUCCGGCAGACUUAGCGGCGCGUCGAUGCAGAGUCCCAGCGCGUCCAUGUCAAGGUAACGGAAGCCGUCGAUCGACGUCGUCGAGUCGCCGCCGUAGGGAAGAACGGAAGUCGGCGUGGCCAGGACAUCGAAGAAUGAAGCGCCGCCGUCAGAUCCCGUAGGAGGCGUUGUUGGCUCCUCCUUGUCGUACUCGGCAGCGGCCUCCUCCCAUGUCUAACGUCCCCAGCCAGACACGCCUCCUUUGGUUCGGGUCGUGGAUUUUAGCUGCUCGCCUACACCACGGUUGUUGCCUGUCGACGUGGAACUUGUGGUCGCGUCGGGUGGCUGCAGACGUUGUUGGCUUCUUGGCCCUCUUCUGCUUCUUAGGUUUUGUUCAGAGGAAGAAGAGAAUGAACAAUCACCUCUGGGUAGACUCGAUGAGGUUUUUUUCUAGGUUUACCAUGAUGAUCAGUUGAAAGAGUUCUCAGAGAGGGAUGGGUGAAUGCUGGCUUUGGUAAUUUCUGGUUUGUGAAAGGUUCCUUCCCUAGAGGUCAGAGCUGAGGUUUUGUAUCAGGAAAUGUGGAGCGGCUGCUACUGGUUUUUUUGUAGCCAAGAUGUUUUUAGCUUUUGGAAGAUCUUCCGGAGUUCCGAUGCUGUGUCACUAAUUUAGAAUUAUCUACUGGCAUACCAUUGCUUUACAUAUAUCAGGGCGGGAGUUUACUAGUAGAGGAAGUCAUGUGGGACCUACAGAAGUUAGUGUUUAUGCAUAUACUCAGAGCUUAGUUGCUUACAGACAACAGUUGGAAGAAAAGUCGCACUGAAGUGAUAGCCAAGAUGUUUGCAGCUUUUGGAAGAACUUCCGGAGUUCUGAUGCUGUGUAAGUCAUCCUACAAUUUAUUUUAGGAUGGAGGGUAUUGAGAUUAAGAACACAGAACCACAUUGUAGUUACAUGUAGCUACUUGUAGUUAUAUGCUAAGCAUUUUAUAGUUUUCUAAUCUUUUUUAGGUAUUAAGCACCCUUGUGCUUUGCUUAAAUACACUUUGGUUUAUAAAAAAUAGGCCCUUAAUCCUAUUCCUUCAAGUUACUGUGUGCUUGAUAGUAUUAUUCAUCUCGAAAUGAUAUACU